UGUGGGAGCUGGCUUGCCUGCGAUGGCAUCGACCGGGUUCCGGAUUACUCCGCGGUGUGUGCAUCGCAGGCAAGCCAGCUCCCCCA
rnacentral:antisense_RNA from 1 species